AAGAAACACAUUGCAACCGAUUGGCAUUAAAAUAAAUCAAUUUAAUUUUUUUUGCAAAAUUUCUCGAAAAAAACGUAAGGGGUAAGCCUUAUGAAAUUUUCGAGUGGAAAAUUUUUUUGAAUUUUUUUUCUGAUUUUUUAUUCUUUUUUUAAUUUAAAGCAUUAUUUGAGUGAAAAGAAACACAUUGCAACAAAUUCGCAAUAAAAUAUAUCACAUUUAAAAAUUUUGCUGAAUUGCAGAAAAAUGAGGAAAAUUUUACAUUUUCUCAAACAGGGUAAGGAACUUGGUUUCUCGAAUAACUUCUGGCACAGACAUCUGAGGGCAUGGCCGUCUGAGAAGAAAAUGUAGCCAUUGUUGCCAUCUAUCGACCACAGGUUAAAGAUUGGCGAUCCGUUGGAUACCGACCGAGUUAUAGACAAAACUUGGUGCAAAAAUGAGGAAAAUUUUACAUUUUCUCAAACAGGGUAAGGAACUUGGUUUCUCGAAUAACUUCUGGCACAUACAUCUGAGGGCAUGGCCGUCCGAGAAGAAAAUGUAGCAAUUGUUGCCAUCUAUCGACCACAGGUUAAAGAUUGGCGAUCCGUUGGAUACCGACCGAGUUAUAGGCAAAACUUGGUGCAAGAAUGAGCCUUAGUAAAUUUUUGUUUUUUUGAUUUUUUUGAUUUUUUGAUUAUUUUUCACUUUUUUUUUAUUUAAAGCAUUUCUUGAGUGAAAAGAAACACAUUGCAACCGAUUGGCAUUAAAAUAAAUCAAUUUAAUUUUUUUUGCAAAAUUUCUCAAAAAAAACGUAAGGGGUAAGCCUUAUGAAAUUUUCGGGUGGAAAAUUUUUUUGAAAUUUUUUUCUGAUUUUUUAUUCUUUUUUUAAUUUAAAGCAUUAUUUGAGUGAAAAGAAACUUAUUGCAACAAAUUCGCAAUAAAAUAUAUCACAUUUAAAAAUUUUGCUGAAUUGCAGAAAAAUGAGGAAAAUUUUACAUUUUCUCAAACAGGGUAAGGAACUUGGUUUCUCGAAUAACUUCUGGCACAGACAUCUGAGGGCAUGGCCGUCGGAGAAGAAAAUGUAGCCAUUGUUGCCAUCUAUCGACCACAGGUUAAAGAUUGGCGAUCCGUUGGAUACCGACCGAGUUAUAGACAAAACUUGGUGCAAAAAUGAGGAAAAUUUUACAUUUUCUCAAACAGGGUAAGGAACUUGGUUUCUCGAAUAACUUCUGGUACAUACAUCUGAGGGCAUGGCCGUCCGAGAAGAAAAUGUAGCAAUUGUUGCCAUCUAUCGACCACAGGUUAAAGAUUGGCGAUCCGUUGGAUACCGACCGAGUUAUAGGCAAAACUUGGCGCAAAAAUGAGCCUUUGUAAAUUUUUGUUUUUUUGAUUUUUUUGAUUUUUUGAUUAUUUUUCACUUUUUUUUUAUUUAAAGCAUUUCUUGAGUGAAAAGAAACACAUUGCAACCGAUUGGCAUUAAAAUAAAUCAAUUUAAUUUUUUUUGCAAAAUUUCUCAAAAAAAACGUAAGGGGUAAGCCUUAUGAAAUUUUCGGGUGGAAAAUUGUUUUGAAAUUUUUUUCUGAUUUUUUAUUCUUUUUUUAAUUUAAAGCAUUAUUUGAGUGAAAAGAAACUUAUUGCAACAAAUUCGCAAUAAAAUAUAUCACAUUUAAAAAUUUUGCUGAAUUGCAGAAAAAUGAGGAAAAUUUUACAUUUUCUCAAACAGGGUAAGGAACUUGGUUUCUCGAAUAACUUCUGGCACAGACAUCUGAGGGCAUGGCCGUCUGAGAAGAAAAUGUAGCCAUUGUUGCCAUCUAUCGACCACAGGUUAAAGAUUGGCGAUCCGUUGGAUACCGACCGAGUUAUAGACAAAACUUGGUGCAAAAAUGAGGAAAAUUUUACAUUUUCUCAAACAGGGUAAGGAACUUGGUUUCUCGAAUAACUUCUGGCACAUACAUCUGAGGGCAUGGCCGUCCGAGAAGAAAAUGUAGCAAUUGUUGCCAUCUAUCGACCACAGGUUAAAGAUUGGCGAUCCGUUGGAUACCGACCGAGUUAUAGGCAAAACUUGGUGCAAAAAUGAGCCUUUGUAAAUUUUUGUUUUUUUGAUUUUUUUGAUUUUUUGAUUAUUUUUCACUUUUUUUUUAUUUAAAGCAUUUCUUGAGUGAAAAGAAACACAUUGCAACCGAUUGGCAUUAAAAUAAAUCAAUUUAAUUUUUUUUGCAAAAUUUCUCAAAAAAAACGUAAGGGGUAAGCCUUAUGAAAUUUUCGAGUGGAAAAUUUUUUUGAAAUUUUUUUCUGAUUUUUUAUUCUUUUUUUAAUUUAAAGCAUUAUUUGAGUGAAAAGAAACACAUUGCAACAAAUUCGCAAUAAAAUAUAUCACAUUUAAAAAUUUUGCUGAAUUGCAGAAAAAUGAGGAAAAUUUUACAUUUUCUCAAACAGGGUAAGGAACUUGGUUUCUCGAAUAACUUCUGGCACAUACAUCUGAGGGCAUGGCCGUCCGAGAAGAAAAUGUAGCAAUUGUUGCCAUCUAUCGACCACAGGUUAAAGAUUGGCGAUCCGUUGGAUACCGACCGAGUUAUAGACAAAACUUGGUUCAAAAAUGAGCCUUUGUAAAUUUUUGUUUUUUUGAUUUUUUUGAUUUUUUGAUUAUUUUUCACUUUUUUUUAUUUAAAGCAUUUCUUGAGUGAAAAGAAACACAUUGCAACCGAUUGGCAUUAAAAUAAAUCAAUUUAAUUUUUUUUGCAAAAUUUCUCAAAAAAAACGUAAGGGGUAAGCCUUAUGAAAUUUUCGAGUGGAAAAUUGUUUUGAAAUUUUUUUCUGAUUUUUUAUUCUUUUUUUAAUUUAAAGCAUUAUUUGAGUGAAAAGAAACUUAUUGCAACAAAUUCGCAAUAAAAUAUAUCACAUUUAAAAAUUUGCUGAAUUGCAGAAAAAUGAGGAAAAUUUUACAUUUUCUCAAACAGUGUAAGGAACUUGGUUUCUCGAGUAACUUCUGGCACAUACAUCUGAGGGCAUGGCCGUCGGAGAAGAAAAUGUAGCCAUUGUUGCCAUCUAUCGACCACAGGUUAAAGAUUGGCGAUUCGUUGGAUACCGACCGAGUUAUAGACAAAACUUGGUGCAAAAAUGAGGAAAAUUUUACAUUUUCUCAAACAGGGUAAGGAACUUGGUUUCUCGAAUAACUUCUGGCACAUACAUCUAAGGGCAUGGCCGUCCGAGAAGAAAAUGUAGCCAUUGUUGCCAUCUAUCGACCACAGGUUAAAGAUUGGCGAUCCGUUGGAUACCGACCGAGUUAUAGGCAAAACUUGGUGCAAAAAUGAGCCUUUGUAAAUUUUUGUUUUUUUGAUUUUUUUGAUUUUUUGAUUAUUUUUCACUUUUUUUUUAUUUAAAGCAUUUCUUGAGUGAAAAGAAACACAUUGCAACCGAUUGGCAUUAAAAUAAAUCAAUUUAAUUUUUUUUGCAAAAUUUCUCAAAAAAAACGUAAGGGGUAAGCCUUAUGAAAUUUUCGAGUGGAAAAUUUUUUUGAAAUUUUUUUCUGAUUUUUUAUUCUUUUUUUAAUUUAAAGCAUUAUUUGAGUGAAAAGAAACACAUUGCAACAAAUUCGCAAUAAAAUAUAUCACAUUUAAAAAUUUUGCUGAAUUGCAGAAAAAUGAGGAAAAUUUUACAUUUUCUCAAACAGGGUAAGGAACUUAGUUUCUCGAAUAACUUCUGGCACAGACAUCUGAGGGCAUGGCCGUCCGAGAAGAAAAUGUAGCCAUUGUUGCCAUCUAUCGACCACAGGUUAAAGAUUGGCGAUCCGUUGGAUACCGACCGAGUUAUAGGCAAAACUUGGUGCAAAAAUGAGCCUUAGUAAAUUUUUAUUUUUUUGAUUUUUUUGAUUUUUUGAUUAUUUUUCACUUUUUUUUUAUUUAAAGCAUUUCUUGAGUGAAAAGAAACACAUUGCAACCGAUUGGCAUUAAAAUAAAUCAAUUUAAUUUUUUUUGCAAAAUUUCUCAAAAAAACCGUAAGGGGUAAGCCUUAUGAAAUUUUCGAGUGGAAAAUUUUUUUGAAAUUUUUUUCUGAUUUUUUAUUCUUUUUUUAAUUUAAAGCAUUAUUUGAGUGAAAAGAAACUUAUUGCAACAAAUUCGCAAUAAAAUAUAUCACAUUUAAAAAAUUUGCUGAAUUGCAGAAAAAUGAGGAAAAUUUUACAUUUUCUCAAACAGUGUAAGGAACUUGGUUUCUCGAAUAACUUCUGGCACAUACAUCUGAGGGCAUGGCCGUCGGAGAAGAAAAUGUAGCCAUUGUUGCCAUCUAUCGACCACAGGUUAAAGAUUGGCGAUUCGUUGGAUACCGACCGAGUUAUAGACAAAACUUGGUGCAAAAAUGAGGAAAAUUUUACAUUUUCUCAAACAGGGUAAGGAACUUGGUUUCUCGUAUAAAUUCUGGCACAUACAUCUAAGGGCAUGGCCGUCCGAGAAGAAAAUGUAGCCAUUGUUGCCAUCUAUCGACCACAGGUUAAAGAUUGGCGAUCCGUUGGAUACCGACCGAGUUAUAGGCAAAAUUUGGUGCAAAAAUGAGGAAAAUUUUACAUUUUCUCAAACAGGGUAACGAACUUGGUUUCUCGAAUUACUUCUGGCACAGACAUCUGAGGGCAUGGCCGUCCGAGAAGAAAAUGUAGCCAUUGUUGCCAUCUAUCGACCACAGGUUAAAGAUUGACGAUCCGUUGGAUACCGACCGAGUUAUAGACAAAACUUGGUGCAAGAAUGAGCCUUAGUAAAUUUUUAUUUUUUUGAUUUUUUUGAUUUUUUGAUUAUUUUUCACUUUUUUUUUAUUUAAAGCAUUUCUUGAGUGAAAAGAAACACAUUGCAACCGAUUGGCAUUAAAAUAAAUCAAUUUAAUUUUUUUUGCAAAAUUUCUCAAAAAAAACGUAAGGGGUAAGCCUUAUGAAAUUUUCGAGUGGAAAAUUGUUUUGAAAUUUUUUUCUGAUUUUUAUUCUUUUUUUAAUUUAAAGCAUUAUUUGAGUGAAAAGAAACACAUUGCAACAAAUUCGCAAUAAAAUAUAUCACAUUUAAAAAUUUUGCUGAAUUGCAGAAAAAUGAGGAAAAUUUUACAUUUUCUCAAACAGGGUAAGGAACUUGGUUUCUCGAAUAACUUCUGGCACAGACAUCUAAGGGCAUGGCCGUCUGAGAAGAAAAUGUAGCCAUUGUUGCCAUCUAUCGACCACAGGUUAAAGAUUGGCGAUCCGUUGGAUACCGACCGAGUUAUAGACAAAACUUGGUGCAAAAAUGAGGAAAAUUUUACAUUUUCUCAAACAGGGUAAGGAACUUGGUUUCUCGAAUAACUUCUGGCACGUACAUCUGAGGGCAUGGCCGUCCGAGAAGAAAAUGUAGCCAUUGUUGCCAUCUAUCGACCACAGGUUAAAGAUUGGCGAUCCGUUGGAUACCGACCGAGUUAUAGGCAAAACUUGGUGCAAAAAUGAGCCUUUGUAAAUUUUUAUUUUUUUGAUUUUUUUGAUUUUUUGAUUAUUUUUCACUUUUUUUUUAUUUAAAGCAUUUCUUGAGUGAAAAGAAACACAUUGCAACCGAUUGGCAUUAAAAUAAAUCAAUUUAAUUUUUUUUUGCAAAAUUUCUCAAAAAAAACGUAAGGGGUAAGCCUUAUGAAAUUUUCGAGUGGAAAAUUGUUUUGAAAUUUUUUUCUGAUUUUUUAUUCUUUUUUUAAUUUAAAGCAUUAUUUGAGUGAAAAGAAACUUAUUGCAACAAAUUCGCAAUAAAAUAUAUCACAUUUAAAAAUUUGCUGAAUUGCAGAAAAAUGAGGAAAAUUUUACAUUUUCUCAAACAGUGUAAGGAACUUGGUUUCUCGAGUAACUUCUGGCACAUACAUCUGAGGGCAUGGCCGUCGGAGAAGAAAAUGUAGCCAUUGUUGCCAUCUAUCGACCACAGGUUAAAGAUUGGCGAUUCGUUGGAUACCGACCGAGUUAUAGACAAAACUUGGUGCAAAAAUGAGGAAAAUUUUACAUUUUCUCAAACAGGGUAAGGAACUUGGUUUCUCGAAUAACUUCUGGCACAUACAUCUAAGGGCAUGGCCGUCCGAGAAGAAAAUGUAGCCAUUGUUGCCAUCUAUCGACCACAGGUUAAAGAUUGGCGAUCCGUUGGAUACCGACCGAGUUAUAGGCAAAACUUGGUGCAAAAAUGAGCCUUUGUAAAUUUUUAUUUUUUUGAUUUUUUUGAUUUUUUGAUUAUUUUUCACUUUUUUUUUAUUUAAAGCAUUUCUUGAGUGAAAAGAAACACAUUGCAACCGAUUGGCAUUAAAAUAAAUCAAUUUAAUUUUUUUUGCAAAAUUUCUCAAAAAAAACGUAAGGGGUAAGCCUUAUGAAAUUUUCGAGUGGAAAAUUGUUUUGAAAUUUUUUUCUGAUUUUUUAUUCUUUUUUUAAUUUAAAGCAUUAUUUGAGUGAAAAGAAACUUAUUGCAACAAAUUCGCAAUAAAAUAUAUCACAUUUAAAAAUUUGCUGAAUUGCAGAAAAAUGAGGAAAAUUUUACAUUUUCUCAAACAGUGUAAGGAACUUGGUUUCUCGAAUAACUUCUGGCACAGACAUCUGAGGGCAUGGCCGUCGGAGAAGAAAAUGUAGCCAUUGUUGCCAUCUAUCGACCACAGGUUGAAGAUUGGCGAUCCGUUGGAUACCGACCGAGUUAUAGACAAAACUUGGUGCAAAAAUGAGGAAAAUUUUACAUUUUCUCAAACAGGGUAAGGAACUUGGUUUCUCGAAUAACUUCUGGCACAUACAUCUAAGGGCAUGGCCGUCCGAGAAGAAAAUGUAGCCAUUGUUGCCAUCUAUCGACCACAGGUUAAAGAUUGGCGAUCCGUUGGAUACCGACCGAGUUAUAGGCAAAACUUGGUGCAAAAAUGAGCCUUUGUAAAUUUUUGUUUUUUUGAUUUUUUUGAUUUUUUGAUUAUUUUUCACUUUUUUUUUAUUUAAAGCAUUUCUUGAGUGAAAAGAAACACAUUGCAACCGAUUGGCAUUAAAAUAAAUCAAUUUAAUUUUUUUUGCAAAAUUUCUCAAAAAAAACGUAAGGGGUAAGCCUUAUGAAAUUUUCGAGUGGAAAAUUUUUUUGAAAUUUUUUUCAGAUUUUUUAUUCUCUUUUUAAUUUAAAGCAUUAUUUGAGUGAAAAGAAACUUAUUGCAACAAAUUCGCAAUAAAAUAUAUCACAUUUAAAAAUUUUGCUGAAUUGCAGAAAAAUGAGGAAAAUUUUACAUUUUCUCAAACAGGGUAAGGAACUUGGUUUCUCGAAUAACUUCUGGCACAGACAUCUGAGGGCAUGGCCGUCUGGGAAGAAAAUGUAGCCAUUGUUGCCAUCUAUCGA